GCCUACGGGGGGCAGCAGUGGGGAAUCUUCCACAAUGGGCGAAAGCCUGAUGGAGCAACGCCGCGUGGGUGAAGAAGGUCUUCUGAUCGUAAAACCCUGUUGUUAGAGAAGAAAGUGCGUGAGAGUAACUGUUCACGUUUCGACGGUAUCUAACCAGAAAGCCACGGCUAACUACGUGCCAGCAGCCGCGGUAAUACGUAGGUGGCAAGCGUUAUCCGGAUUUAUUGGGCGUAAAGGGAACGCAGGCGGUCUUUUAAGUCUGAUGUGAAAGCCUUCGGCUUAACCGAAGUAGUGCAUUGGAAACU
rnacentral:rRNA from 1 species